GUAGGUGGCAAGCGUUGUCCGGAAUUAUUGGGCGUAAAGCGCGCGCAGGCGGUUCUUUAAGUCUGAUGUGAAAGCCCACGGCUCAACCGUGGAGGGUCAUUGGAAACUGGAGAACUUGAGUACAGAAGAGGAAAGCGGAAUUCCACGUGUAGCGGUGGAAUGCGUAGAGAUGUGGAGGAACACCAGUGGCGAAGGCGGCUUUCUGGUCUGUAACUGACGCUGAGGCGCGAAAGCGUGGGGGAGCAAACAGGAUUAGAUACCCUGGUAGUCCACGCCGUAAACGAUGAGUGCUAAGUGUUAGGGGGUUUCCGCCCCUUAGUGCUGCAGCUAACGCAUUAAGCACUCCGCCUGGGAGUACGGCCGCAAGGCUG
rnacentral:rRNA from 1 species